GAUAAACGCUGGCGGCGUGCAUGAGACAUGCAAGUCGAACGAAGGAUCGGGCUUGCUCGAUCCUUAGUGGCGGACGGCUGAGUAACGCGUAGGUGACCUACCCCGAAGUGGGGAAUAACUGCCCGAAAGGGUGGCUAAUACCGCAUGUGGUCGCACGUUCAUUCGUGCGAGUAAAGCCGCAAGGCGCUUCGGGAGGGGCCUGCGUCCGAUUAGCUCGUUGGUGGGGUAAUGGCUUACCAAGGCGACGAUCGGUAGGUGGUCUGAGAGGACGAUCACCCAGACUGGGACUGAGACACGGCCCAGACUCCUACGGGAGGCAGCAGUCGGGAAUGUUGCUCAAUGGGGGAAACCCUGAAGCAGCAACGCCGCGUGAGGGAUGAAGGCCUUCGGGUUGUAAACCUCUUUUGUCAGGGACGAUGAUGACGGUACCUGGCGAAUAAGCCACGGCUAACUACGUG
rnacentral:rRNA from 1 species